GGAAAUUAUCCGCAUCAAAACAUUCCGCUCCAUCCAUCGUUCUGGAAGAGGAGACAAAAGAGGGAUCGGAGAGAGAGAGAAGGGCGGCCCAUUCAAUCACACAGUGGAGGGGAUUACUAUGAAAGCAGCCCCAACUCAGCUUCUUUUGUCUGGGCUGCUGUGGCCUGCAGAAGCAGUGCACACUGGGUCAAACCUGGCCUUUGAGACAACCCAAAUUCCCAUUUCGGUUGCCUCAAUGCAAAAUGGAGAGCUCUUAAUGACUGGUCUGAUGAUGUGCUCCAGGAAGUGCCAACUUACCCUGACCCACUUCUUGUGGCCUAGAUCUGGC